rnacentral:rRNA from 1 species
GAUGAACGCUGGCGGCGUGCCUAAUACAUGCAAGUCGAGCGAACAGAUAAGGAGCUUGCUCCGUUGACGUUAGCGGCGGACGGGUGAGUAACACGUGGGUAACCUACCUAUAAGACUGGAAUAACUCCGGGAAACCGGGGCUAAUGCCGGAUAACAUUUAGAACCGCAUGGUUCUAAAGUGAAAGAUGGUUUUGCUAUCACUUAUAGAUGGACCCGCGCCGUAUUAGCUAGUUGGUAAGGUAACGGCUUACCAAGGCAACGAUACGUAGCCGACCUGAGAGGGUGAUCGGCCACACUGGAACUGAGACACGGUCCAGACUCCUACGGGAGGCAGCAGUAGGGAAUCUUCCGCAAUGGGCGAAAGCCUGACGGAGCAACGCCGCGUGAGUGAUGAAGGUCUUCGGAUCGUAAAACUCUGUUAUUAGGGAAGAACAAAUGUGUAAGUAACUGUGCACGUCUUGACGGUACCUAAUCAGAAAGCCACGGCUAACUACGUG